rnacentral:rRNA from 1 species
AGACCUACGGGAGGCAGCAGUGAGGAAUAUUGGUCAAUGGCCGAGAGGCUGAACCAGCCAAGUCGCGUGAGGGAUGACGGCCCUACGGGUUGUAAACCUCUUUUGUCGGGGAGCAAGACCCGCCACGAGUGGCGGAGCGAGAGUACCCGAAGGAAAAGCAUCGGCUAACUCCGUGCCAGCAGCCGCGGUAAUACGGAGGAUGCGAGCGUUAUCCGGAUUUAAUGGGGUUAAAGGGGGCGCAGGCGGACCACCAAGUCAG